rnacentral:antisense_RNA from 1 species
UUGACCGUGAACUUCCACUGGUCAUUCGACUCCACCACCGACAUGUCCCCGAAGUGAUCGCCAUCGGCGAGCGUCUCGAUCAGGACCUCGUCGCCAUACUGGCCACGGCCCAGCUUCUGGGCCUUGCCAUGGGCGAGCAGCAUCACCUGCUCGGCGGGCUGGCCCGCCUCGACGAUCCGCUCACCCGGCUUGAACUCCCGCUGCACGAACCGGGACGCCAGGGCGGACAACACCUCGGCGUCGUCGACAUCACGCAGCAGCGGCAGCUCGCGCAGCUCCUGGGGAAUGACCUCCACCCGGGCGCCGACGUUGGAGAAGCUGAGGCGCCCAUCCCCCACGGAGUAGGUCAGGCGACGGUUGACGCGGUACACGCCACCCGGCACCUCGACCCACGGCAGCAUGCGCAGCAGCCACCUGGGAGUGAUUCCCAACAUCUGCGGCCGCGACUUGGUCGUCGUCGCCAACUGACGGGCCGCGUCCGUCCCCAGGCUCAUCUGCCGCUGUUCG